rnacentral:rRNA from 1 species
GUGUCAGCAGCCGCGGUAAUACAGGGGGCGCGAGCGUUGCUCGGAAUCACUGGGCGUAAAGCGUACGCAGGCGGACCGUUAAGUCGGGUGUGAAAUCCCAGGGCUCAACCCUGGACGUGCAUUCGAUACUGGCGGUCUCGAGUACGGGAGAGGUGAGUGGAAUUCCUGGUGUAGAGGUGAAAUUCGUAGAUAUCAGGAGGAACACCGGUGGCGAAAGCGGCUCACUGGCCCGAUACUGACGCUCAUGUACGAAAGCGUGGGGAGCAAACAGGAUUAGAAACCCCCGUAGUCC